rnacentral:rRNA from 1 species
ACCCAAUCCCGAUUCGGGGAGGUAGUGACAAUAAAUAACAAUACAGGGCCAACGGUCUUGUUAUUGGAAUGAGAACAAUUUAAAUAACUUAACGAGGAUCAAUUAGAGGGCAAGUCUGGUGCCAGCAGCCGCGGUAAUUCCAGCUCUAAUAGCGUAUAUUAAAGUUGUUGCAGUUAAAAAGCUCGUAGUCGGAUGUCGGGCUCGGGCAAGCUGUCGGCCUUUGGUCGGACGGCAGGCUCGGGUCUUUCUGCCUGAGGAACCCGGUUGCUUUAACGAGCUGCCGGUGGACGCAGGUCGUUUACUUUGAAAAAAUUAGAGUGUUCAAAGCAGGCUAGCGCCUGAAUACAUUAGCAUGGAAUAAUGGAAUAGGACUUUGGUGCUAUUUUGUUGGUUUAUGGGACCAAAGUAAUGAUUAACAGGGACAGUUGGGGCCGUUUAUAUUUCGUUGUCAGAGGUGAAAUUCUUGGAUUUACGAAAGAUAAACUUCUGCGAAAGCAUUCGGCAAGGAUGUUUUCAUUGAUCAAGAACGAAAGUUAGGGGAUCGAAGACGAUCAGAUACCGUCGUAGUCUUAACCAUAAACUAUGCCGACUAGGGAUCAGUGGAUGUCAAUUUGCGACUCCAUUGGCACCUUGUGAGAAAUCAAAGUUUUUGGGUUCCGGGGGGAGUAUGGUCGCAAGGCUGAAACUUAAAGGAAUUGACGGAAGGGCACCACCAGGAGUGGAGCCUGCGGCUUAAUUUGACUCAACACGGGGAAACUUACCAGGUCCAGACAUAGUAAGGAUUGACAGAUUGAAAGCUCUUUCUUGAUU